rnacentral:rRNA from 1 species
GACGAACGCUGGCGGCGUGCUUAACACAUGCAAGUCGAACGGUGAAGCUCCAGCUUGCUGGAGUGGAUCAGUGGCGAACGGGUGAGUAACACGUGAGCAACCUGCCCCUGACUCUGGAAUAAGCGCUGGAAACGGCGUCUAAUACUGGAUACGAGAAGGGUCCGCAUGGGCACUUUCUGGAAAGUUUUUCGGUUGGGGAUGGGCUCGCGGCCUAUCAGCUUGUUGGUGAGGUAAUGGCUCACCAAGGCGACGACGGGUAGCCGGCCUGAGAGGGCGACCGGCCACACUGGGACUGAGACACGGCCCAGACUCCUACGGGAGGCAGCAGUGGGGAAUAUUGCACAAUGGGCGAAAGCCUGAUGCAGCGACGCCGCGUGAGGUAUGACGGCCUUCGGGUUGUAAACCUCUUUCAGCAGGGAAGAAGCGAAAGUGACGGUACCUGCAGAAGAAGCACCGGCUAACUACGUG